UAGUGGAAGGGUUGUAGAGUGGGUUGUACUAGCCAAUACUAUUUAAAGAUGCACACGAUUUUGGUCGUAACUGCCAAAAAUGUCAAUAGACAGAUAUGUAGGAUCUGGUGUGAUGCUCCCAAGGCUCAGAGGAUCAAGAAAAAGGCUAAGGUUCAAGACCCAUGAGGUGUUUAUGGGGGUUCUAAAGCUAGUUUGGGCCCUAGAGUGAAAGGCUGUCAACUAUCACAGUCUUAAGGUCCAGAGAAUUUGGGCCUUGAGGGACUAACUUGUUAUAUUGAGCUAGGUUUGAAUCUAAGAGAGG
rnacentral:lncRNA from 1 species